rnacentral:other from 1 species
UACAAGCUGCGAUGUGCGUUGCGUAUUGAUGUUUCAACCGAUGCAUUUAAUAAGGGAGCUCUACAUGUCGAGAAUGGCCAUCAUGCCUUAAUUGGACGAUGAAAGUUCUCAUGCGGGCACCCACCUGUUUCGAGCAGGUUCUGAAACACAAGCGUGACGGCAUAGGCGGCCGUUUA